UACCAGCACCCCGAGUGGUCGGGACGAUUAUUGGGCCUAAAGCAUCCGUAGCCGGUCAUGCAAGUCUUCCGUUAAAUCCACCUGCUCAACAGAUGGGCUGCGGAAGAUACUAUAGGGCUAGGAGGCGGGAGAGGCAAGCGGUACUCAGUGGGUAGGGGUAAAAUCCUCUGAUCCAUUGAAGACCACCAGUGGCGAAGGCGGCUUGCCAGAACGCGCUCGACGGUGAGGGAUGAAAGCUGGGGGAGCAAACGGG
rnacentral:rRNA from 1 species